AGGACGAACGCUGGCGGCGUGCUUAACACAUGCAAGUCGAGCGAGGCCCCUCCUUCGGGAGGGUGUCCUAGCGGCGAACGGGUGAGUAACACGUGGGCAACCUGCCCUCAGCUCUGGGAUAACUCCGGGAAAACCGGGGCUAAUACCGGAUACGACCUCCACGGGCAUCUGCGGAGGUGGUAAAGUUUUUCGGCUGAGGAUGGGCCCGCGGCCUAUCAGCUAGUUGGUGGGGUGAUAGCCCACCAAGGCGACGACGGGUA
rnacentral:rRNA from 1 species